GAUGAACGCUGGCGGCGUGCCUAAUACAUGCAAGUCGAACGGAAAGGCGCGUUGCUUGGUCGACGGGCGUUGGCCGGGGGCGUGAGACAAACGCGUGUGUCCCCUCCCUGUGGGUCUGGGAUCGCUAGGUUAAACCGUAGCUAAUACGAUAUACGGUAUUGAGCCGCGUGGUGCAAUGGUGAGAGCCGGCGUUGCUGCCGAUGAUCGAUUGGUCGGCGCGUGAUUAGCUAGUUGGUAAGGUAAAGGCUUACCAAGCCGACGAUGCGUAGCCGACCUGAGAGGGUGAUCGGCCACACUGGAACUGAGACACGGCCCAGACUCCUACGGGAGGCAGCAGUAGGGAAUCUUCGGCAAUGGGCGAAAGCCUGACGCAGCAACGCCGCGUGAGGGAUGAAGGUCUUCGGGUCGUAAAAUGCUGUUAUAAGGGACGAACAGAUUUGUAAGUAAACAGGCACGUCUUGACGGUACCGUAUCAAAAAGCAACGGCUAACUACGUG
rnacentral:rRNA from 1 species